UAUUGUGGUGACUCCAAUUUGAAUCAAUCAAUUUAUUCCAAUUUGUUCUUUUGAAGCUACUUCAGGUCAGAGUAGAAAAAUAUAAUUUUUAUGGAAUCAAUGAAUUUUGAAUCUAGGAAAAUCAACACUUGUGGUGGUGUUGAUGGUGGAGGUGCAGGUUUUGGAGGAGGAUGAGGAGGCAGUGGUGGUACUGGAUCAGAUUUGGAAGAUAAUUUGUAUUUGGAGUUAGUGGUGGUGUUUUGGUAUGAAGCUGAGAGGUUUGGUAUGGAUGUUAGAGCUGUGUUAGACAUUGUUUCAGAUAACUUCAUAAAAGCUAAUUGCUUAAACGUGGUAAUGAUCUCGCUGGAACUGGA